rnacentral:rRNA from 1 species
AACGAACGCUGGCGGCAGGCCUAACACAUGCAAGUCGAGCGCCCUUUCGGGGGAGCGGCGGACGGGUGAGUAACGCGUGGGAAUAUGCCCUUCUCUACAGAAUAGCCUCGGGAAACUGAGAGUAAUACCGUAUACGCCCUGUGGGGGAAAGAUUUAUCGGGGAAGGAUUAGCCCGCGUUGGAUUAGGUAGUUGGUGGGGUAAUGGCCUACCAAGCCGACGAUCCAUAGCUGGUUUGAGAGGAUGAUCAGCCACACUGGGACUGAGACACGGCCCAGACUCCUACGGGAGGCAGCAGUGGGGAAUCUUAGACAAUGGGGGCAACCCUGAUCUAGCCAUGCCGCGUGAGUGAUGAAGGCCUUAGGGUUGUAAAGCUCUUUCAGCUGGGAAGAUAAUGACGGUACCAGCAGAAGAAGCCCCGGCUAACUCCGUG